AAAAUAAUGUGAACAAAAACUUUUUGAAAACAACAAAAGGGAAGAAUGAGUAUCCAAUGGAGCUUUCUGUUUCUUCCAGGGUUUCCUCUUUUGAGCAAAACCAAGCCAGACCUUGACUACUCCCUCCGAGGCAUGAUUGUGCAGGUAUUUGCAGCAAAUCCUCCGCUGGGCGUGGGGAGCACGCCUGAGGAAAGGUGGCGGAAGACGGGAAGGUACCUCCUCCAGGCCACAUCCUGGUGCCCCGGAGGAGCGGCUGGCCCUUCGCCCCAGCGCCAGGGUGAGCUUGAUUGUUACCAAGGUAAUCCCAUUUGCUGAC
rnacentral:lncRNA from 1 species